rnacentral:rRNA from 1 species
ACUCCUACGGGAGGCAGCAGUGGGGAAUAUUGCACAAUGGGCGCAAGCCUGAUGCAGCCAUGCCGCGUGUAUGAAGAAGGCCUUCGGGUUGUAAAGUACUUUCAGCAGUGAGGAAGGUGGGUAUGUUAAUAGCAUAUUCAUUUGACGUUAGCUGCAGAAGAAGCACCGGCUAACUCCGUGCCAGCAGCCGCGGUAAUACGGAGGGUGCGAGCGUUAAUCGGAAUUACUGGGCGUAAAGCGCAUGCAGGUGGUUUGUUAAGUCAGAUGUGAAAGCCCGGGGCUCAACCUCGGAAUUGCAUUUGAAACUGGCAAACUAGAGUACUGUAGAGGGGGGUAGAAUUUCAGGUGUAGCGGUGAAAUGCGUAGAGAUCUGAAGGAAUACCGGUGGCGAAGGCGGCCCCCUGGACAGAUACUGACACUCAGAUGCGAAAGCGUGGGGAGCAAACAGGAUUAGAUACCCUGGUAGCCUCUGC